GUGCCAGGCCUGCUUGCACCUGCUGAUAGCAUGAGCAAUUGGGCCUGGUGCCAGCAGUGGGUGCAAGUGGUGGCUACUGCCCUGAUCACCCCUCAGGAGCAGGAGGAAGUAGAGAAGCCCCCAGGGGCGAUUAGGGCCUGCAGCUGCUGCUUGCACCAUCUGAUGGUGCUGAGUGAUCUGGACUGGCACCAGGCACCGGCAGUGGGUGCAGGAGCAAAUAAUUUUCAGUAAACACUAGAAGCUCACCCCGAUGACAGCGACCAGCACCCCUGCUCACAUGCUCGUCCAUCCCGCCACAGCCAACGCCCGCCAUAUUCCGCAUACGCCCCCUGGUGGUCAGUGCACAUCAUAGCGGCUGGUUGUUUGGUUGUCCCACUGUUUGGUCUGUUUGUAUAUGAGCCUUUUAUUAUAUAGGAUUGCCUUUUACAUAUCUGAAGACGGUUGGUGAAAGAAUAUAAAAAUGCAUUAACUUGGCUUCCUCAUAAAAUGAUUGCUCCAUAUAAAAAUUUAAUAUAUUUAUACUAUAAUUAAAAAUGUAGUAAUUGAAAUAA